rnacentral:lncRNA from 1 species
CUUUAACGAAAAUUGCAGAAGGUGGGAUUUAGGAAUAAAAUGUGUAAGCAAUGAGCCAUGUGCAAAUGCAGACAAAUACAGCUACAAACAUCGAAUCUUUCACAUGUUUCUACAUCUAACCCAUUAAAAGAAAGAUAGCAAAUGCAACAUAGAGCCAAAAUGGAGACAUCCCGACAUAACUACCCAACUCUUCAACUCAAAUCCAUCCCCAGCCACAUCCCCAAGAAGCUUUGCUCCCACACCCAAUCCUUUCCUCAUCAGGACUACCCACCUCUCCUACCAAAUCCUUCAACUUACAUUGGACAAAAUAACAGCUGUACGAGUAUAUAUUACAACACAUAUCAAUGUGAACAACAACAAAGACAUCCACGCUAGGAUGAUGAUGAUGAUGAUGUCCAUCACCUCCCAUCGA